GCGUGCGCAGGCGGUUUUGUUAAGUCUGUCGUGAAAGACCCCGGGCUUAACCUGGGAAUUGCGAUGGAGACUGCAAGGCUUGAAUCUGGCAGAGGGGGGUAGGAAUUCCACGUGUAGCAGUGAAAUGCGUAGAGAUGUGGAGGAACACCGAUGGCGAAGGCAGCCCCCUGGGUCAAGAUUGACGCUCAUGCACGAAAGCGUGGGGAGCAAACAGGAUUAGAUACCCGUGU
rnacentral:rRNA from 1 species